rnacentral:lncRNA from 1 species
AACCCGAUUUCCGCUUCCGGCUCCUCCCCGACGCCAUCUUGGCGCCGUCGCGCUCCUGUGACGUCACUAAAAAGGCGCCGCCGCCAUUUUCGGCGCCGUCGCGCUCUUGUGACGUCACCAAAAACGCGCCAAGAGGACGAUGACGCCAUCUUGGAGCCGGCGCGCUCCGGUGACGUCACUAAAAGCCGCGCCAAGGAAACGCCGCCGCCAUUUUGGGUGCCGUGGCGCUCUUGUGAUGUCACAAACGCUCCACAGAAGAUGACGCCGCCAUUUUUGGCGCCGUCACGCUCUUGUGACGUCACUAAAAACGCGACCAGACGCACCCGCCAUUUUCAGCACUGUCGCGCUCUUGUGAUGUCACUAAAAUCCUGCCAAUAAGGAGCCGUCGCGCUCGUUUGACAUCACUAAAAACGCGCCAAUAUGUAGGAGCCGUCGCGUCCUCGUGACGUCACUAAAAACGCGCCUGGACGCAGCCGCCAUUUUUUGCGCCGUCGCGCUCUUUUGACGUCACUGAAACCGCGCCAAGGACUUGGCGCCAUCGCGCUCUUGUGACGUCACUAAAACAGCGCCAAAACCCCGGCGCCGUCGCGCUAUUGUGACGUCACUGAAACCGCGCCAAGAAGCCGCCGCCGCCGCCGCCAUUUUGGCGCCGUGAGCGGGGGGGGGAGGAAGGAGCCGCCGCCAUGAAACCGCCGCGGCGGCUCCGUUUUCUCCCUUCGCGUUUGGCGGAGGCUCCGCGCAGCCCCGAGAGGCCCCGGAGAGGCGCGUGGGGGCUGCGGGAGAAGCGGGAGCUGCUGGCGGCGCUGAGGGCGGAGGCGCGGAGAGGCCUCCCCGAGCAGCGGCUGCCGGCGGCGCUGAGGGAGAAGCUGCCCCGGAGGAGCGAGGAGGAGAUCCGGGCGUUCCUGCUCCAGCUCCGGGGCCGAGCGGCUCGAGAGGCCCUGACCUCGAAAUUCCGGAAAUUUCUGCUCUUCCGGCGCCGGAUCCGCGCCCCCAUCCAGGUUUUUUGGGGAUUUGGGAAUUUUGGGGAAUUUUCGGGAAUUUUGGGGGGUCCUGAGGGGAUUUUGGGGGUUCUGAGUUCAAAAUUUGGGAAUUUUCUGGAAUUUUGGGGGUUCUGGGCUCAAAAUUUGGGAAUUUUCUGGAAUUUUGGGGGUUCUGGGCUCAGAAUUUGGGAAUUUUGGGGAAUUUUGGGGGGUCCUGAGGGGAUUUUGGGGGUUCUGGGUUCAAAAUUUGGGGAUUUUGGGGAAUUUUGGGGGUUCUGGGUUCAAAAUUUGGGAAUUUUCUGGAAUUUUGGGGGUUCUGGGCUCAAAAUUUGGGAAAUUUCUGGAAUUUUGGGGGGUUCUGGGCUCAAAAUUUGGGAAUUUUCUGUAAUUUUGGGGGGUCCUGAGUUCAAAAUUUGGGAAUUUUCUGGUAUUUUGGGGGUUCUGGGCUCAGAAUUUGGGAAUUUUCUGGAAUUUUGGGGGUUCUGGGCUCAGAAUUUGGGAAUUUUGGGGAAUUUUGGGGGGUCCUGAGGGGAUUUUGGGGGUUCUGGGCUCUAAAUUUGGGAAUUUUCUGGAAUUUUGGGGGUUCUGGGCUCAAAAUUUGGGAAUUUUCUGGAAUUUUGGGGGUUCUGGGCUCAGAAUUUGGGAAUUUUGGGGAAUUUUGGGGGGUCCUGAGGGGAUUUUGGGGGUUCUGGGUUCAAAAUUUGGGAAUUUCUGGAAUUUUGGGGGUUCUGGGUUCAAAAUUUGGGGAUUUUGGGAAUUUUGGGGGGUCCUGAGGGGAUUUUGGGGUUCCUGGGAUCAUUUUGGGGGGUUCCAGAUCCCAUUUUUUUGAGGGUUCCCAUUGGGGUUCUGGAUCCCAAAUUUUGGGGUUCGGGGUCCCAAAUUUUGGGGUUCCAGAUCCCGGAUUUUGGGGUUUUUGGAUCCCAAAUUUUGGGGUUCCAG